UUAUCUUCAUAAGUCAGAAGUUCACACUUAAGGGUGUAGUUCCAGUACAUGAAGAAGUAUAAGGGUAAUUUCUCCAUAGCUUUAAAGCUAAAAAAUAAAAAAGGAACAUCAUAGUUAGUAGUUUCUAUGAAAGGUGUGGUGUUGU
rnacentral:ncRNA from 12 species